rnacentral:rRNA from 1 species
CGAAAGAAAAAGAGUGGCGAACGGGUGAGUAACACGUGGGUAACCUGCCCAUCAGAAGGGGAUAACACUUGGAAACAGGUGCUAAUACCGUAUAACACUAUUUUCCGCAUGGAAGAAAGUUGAAAGGCGCUUUUGCGUCACUGAUGGAUGGACCCGCGGUGCAUUAGCUAGUUGGUGAGGUAACGGCUCACCAAGGCAACGAUGCAUAGCCGACCUGAGAGGGUGAUCGGCCACACUGGGACUGAGACACGGCCCAGACUCCUACGGGAGGCAGCAGUAGGGAAUCUUCGGCAAUGGACGAAAGUCUGACCGAGCAACGCCGCGUGAGUGAAGAAGGUUUUCGGAUCGUAAAACUCUGUUGUUAGAGAAGAACAAGGAUGAGAGUAAAAUGUUCAUCCCUUGACGGUAUCUAACCAGAAAGCCACGGCUAACUACGUGCCAGCAGCCGCGGUAAUACGUAGGUGGCAAGCGUUGUCCGGAUUUAUUGGGCGUAAAGCGAGCGCAGGCGGUUUCUUAAGUCUGAUGUGAAAGCCCCCGGCUCAACCGGGGAGGGUCAUUGGAAACUGGGAGACUUGAGUGCAGAAGAGGAGAGUGGAAUUCCAUGUGUAGCGGUGAAAUGCGUAGAUAUAUGGAGGAACACCAGUGGCGAAGGCGGCUCUCUGGUCUGUAACUGACGCUGAGGCUCGAAAGCGUGGGGAGCGAACAGGAUUAGAUACCCUGGUAGUCCACGCCGUAAACGAUGAGUGCUAAGUGUUGGAGGGUUUCCGCCCUUCAGUGCUGCAGCAAACGCAUUAAGCACUCCGCCUGGGGAGUACGACCGCAAGGUUGAAACUCAAAGGAAUUGACGGGGGCCCGCACAAGCGGUGGAGCAUGUGGUUUAAUUCGAAGCAACGCGAAGAACCUUACCAGGUCUUGACAUCCUUUGACCACUCUAGAGAUAGAGCUUCCCCUUCGGGGGCAAGUGACA